GCUUGAAGGUAGCUUGGAAUUGGGUUUGGGCUUUUUUUGCGCAGUCUAGGUGGGAGGCGUUGAAGACAAGGUUUCGGCCUUUUCGGAGCCANUCAGUGAGAGACCACUCUGAAAGAGCUAGAAUCCUAAUAGUAAUCNCUUGAAGCAGGAUACUUGACAGUUUCAGGCGGACCUUUUUUCUGGGGCGGAUGCCUGCUAAAAAGUAACGGAGGUGUGCAAAGGUUCCCUCAGGCUGGACGGAAAUCAGCUGUAGAGUGUAAAGGUAAAAGGGAGCUUGACUGCAAGACCUACAAGUCGAGCAGGGGCGAAAGCCGGCCUUAGUGAUCCGACGGUACCGCGUGGAAGGGCCGUCGCUCAACGGAUAAAAGUUA
rnacentral:rRNA from 2 species